UACGUAGGGAGCAAGCGUUGUCCGGAAUCAUUGGGCGUAAAGCGCGCGUAGGUGGCCAUGUAAGUCCGCUGUGAAAGUCAAAGGCUCAACCUUUGAAAGCCGGUGGAUACUGCAUGGCUAGAGUACGGAAGAGGCGAGUGGAAUUCCUGGUGUAGCGGUGGAAUGCGCAGAUAUCAGGAGGAACACCAAUAGCGAAGGCAGCUCGCUGGGACGUUUACUGACACUGAGGCGCGAAAGCGUGGGGAGCGAACAGG
rnacentral:rRNA from 1 species